rnacentral:rRNA from 1 species
UACGGAGGGGGCUAGCGUUGUUCGGAAUUACUGGGCGUAAAGCGCACGUAGGCGGCUUUGUAAGUUAGAGGUGAAAGCCCGGGGCUCAACUCCGGAAUUGCCUUUAAGACUGCAUCGCUAGAAUUGUGGAGAGGUAAGUGGAAUUCCGAGUUUAGAGGUGAAAUUCGUAGAUAUUCGGAAGAACACCAGUGGCGAAGGCGACUUACUGGACACAUAUUGACGCUGAGGUGCGAAAGCGUGGGGAGCAAACAGG